rnacentral:rRNA from 1 species
CCUACGUGAGACAGCAGUGAGGAAUAUUGGUCAAUGGACGAGAGUCUGAACCAGCCAAGUAGCGUGAAGGAUGACUGCCCUAUGGGUUGUAAACUUCUUUUAUAUGGGAAUAAAAUGUUCCACGUGUGGGAUUUUGUAUGUACCAUAUGAAUAAGGAUCGGCUAACUCCGUGCCAGCAGCCGCGGUAAUACGGAGGAUCCGAGCGUUAUCCGGAUUUAUUGGGUUUAAAGGGAGCGUAGGUGGAUUGUUAAGUCAGUUGUGAAAGUUUGCGGCUCAACCGUAAAAUUGCAGUUGAAACUGGCAGUCUUGAGUACAGUAGAGGUGGGCGGAAUGCGUGGUGUAGCGGUGAAAUGCUUAGAUAUCACGAAGAACUCCGAUUGCGAAGGCAGCUCACUGGACUGCAACUGACACUGAGGCUCGAAAGUGUGGGUAUCAAACAGGAUUAGAUACCCGAGUAGUC